GACGAACCGUGCGAACGUUAUCCGGAAUCACUGGGCUUAAAGCGCGUGUAGGCGGGACGGCACGUCGGUCGCUGAAAUCCCCCGGCUCAACCGGGGAACGGGCGCCGAUACGACCGCCCUGGAGGGGCGUAGGGGGAUCGGGAACUUCCGGUGGAGCGGUGAAAUGCGUUGAGAUCGGAAGGAACGCCCGUGGCGAAAGCGCGGUCCUGGACGCUUACUGACGCUGAGACGCGAAAGCCAGGGGAGCGAACGGG
rnacentral:rRNA from 1 species